UACAGAGGUCUCAAGCGUUGUUCGGAUUCAUUGGGCGUAAAGGGUGCGUAGGCGGCGCGGUAAGUCGGGUGUGAAAUCUCGGAGCUUAACUCCGAAACUGCAUUCGAUACUGCCGUGCUUGAGGACUGGAGAGGAGACUGGAAUUUACGGUGUAGCGGUGAAAUGCGUAGAUAUCGUAAGGAAGACCAGUGGCGAAGGCGGGUCUCGUGGACAGUUCCUGACGCUGAGGCACGGAAGGUCAGGGGAGCAAACGGGG
rnacentral:rRNA from 1 species